AUUGAACGCUGGCGGCAGGCCUAACACAUGCAAGUCGAGCGAGCGGCAGACGGGUGAGUAAUGUCUGGGAAACUGCCUGAUGGAGGGGGAUAACUACUGGAAACGGUAGCUAAUACCGCAUACCAUCAGAUGUGCCCAGAUGGGAUGAGCUAGUAGGUGGGGUAACGGCUCACCGAGGCGACGACCCCUCGCUGGUCUGAGAGGAUGACCAGCCACACUGGAACUGAGAAACGGUCCAGACUCCUACGGGAGGCAGCAGUGGGGAAUAUUGCACAAUGGGCGCAAGCCUGAUGCAGCCAUGCCGCGUGUAUGAAGAAGGCCUUCGGGUUGUAAAGUACAUUCAGCGGGGAGGCGUUACCCGCAGAAGAAGCACCGGCUAACUCCGUGCCAGCAGCCGCGGUAAUUC
rnacentral:rRNA from 1 species